rnacentral:rRNA from 1 species
CAAUAGCGUAUAUUAAAGUUGUUGCGGUUAAAAAGCUCGUAGUUGGAUUUCUGCCGAGGACGACCGGUCCGCCCAUUGGGUGAGUAUCUGGUUCGGCCUGGGCAUCUUCUUGGAGAACGUAGCUGCACUUGACUGUGUGGUGCGGUAUCCAGGACUUUUACUUUGAGGAAAUUAGAGUGUUUCAAGCAGGCUUACGCCUUGAAUACAUUAGCAUGGAAUAAUAAUAUAGGACCUCGGUUCUAUUUUGUUGGUUUCUAGAGCUGAGGUAAUGAUUAAUAGGGAUAGUUGGGGGCAUUCGUAUUUAACUGUCAGAGGUGAAAUUCUUGGAUUUGUUAAAGACGGACUACUGCGAANGNAUUUGCNAAGGAUGUUUNCAUUG